CAGGCUUAACACAUGCAAGUCGAGGGGCAGCAUGGUCUUAGCUUGCUAAGGCCGAUGGCGACCGGCGCACGGGUGAGUAACACGUAUCCAACCUGCCGUCUACUCUUGGACAGCCUUCUGAAAGGAAGAUUAAUACAAGAUGGCAUCAUGAGUCCACAUGUUCACAUGAUUAAAGGUAUUCCGGUAGACGAUGGGGAUGCGUUCCAUUAGAUAGUAGGCGGGGUAACGGCCCACCUAGUCUUCGAUGGAUAGGGGUUCUGAGAGGAAGGUCCCCCACAUUGGAACUGAGACACGGUCCAAACUCCUACGGGAGGCAGCAGUGAGGAAUAUUGGUCAAUGGGCGAGAGCCUGAACCAGCCAAGUAGCGUGAAGGAUGACUGCCCUAUGGGUUGUAAACUUCUUUUAUAAAGGAAUAAAGUCGGGUAUGCAUACCCGUUUGCAUGUACUUUAUGAAUAAGGAUCGGCUAACUCCGUGCCAGCAGCCGCGGUAAUACGGAGGAUCCGAGCGUUAUCCGGAUUUAUUGGGUUUAAAGGGAGCGUAGAUGGAUGUUUAAGUCAGUUGUGAAAGUUUGCGGCUCAACCGUAAAAUUGCAGUUGAUACUGGAUAUCUUGAGUGCAGUUGAGGCAGGCGGAAUUCGUGGUGUAGCGGUGAAAUGCUUAGAUAUCACGAAGAACUCCGAUUGCGAAGGCAGCCUGCUAAGCUGCAACUGACAUUGAGGCUCGAAAGUGUGGGUAUCAAACAGGAUUAGAUACCCUGGUAGUCCACACGGUAAACGAUGAAUACUCGCUGUUUGCGAUAUACUGCAAGCGGCCAAGCGAAAGCGUUAAGUAUUCCACCUGGGGAGUACGCCGGCAACGGUGAAACUCAAAGGAAUUGACGGGGGCCCGCACAAGCGGAGGAACAUGUGGUUUAAUUCGAUGGUACGCGAGGAACCUUACCCGGGCUUAAAUUGCAGAUGAAUUACGGUGAAAGCCGUAAGCCGCAAGGCAUCUGUGAAGGUGCUGCAUGGUUGUCGUCAGCUCGUGCCGUGAGGUGUCGGCUUAAGUGCCAUAACGAGCGCAACCCUUGUUGUCAGUUACUAACAGGUUCCGCUGAGGACUCUGACAAGACUGCCAUCGUAAGAUGUGAGGAAGGUGGGGAUGACGUCAAAUCAGCACGGCCCUUACGUCCGGGGCUACACACGUGUUACAAUGGGGGGUACAGAGGGCCGCUACCACGCGAGUGGAUGCCAAUCCCCAAAACCUCUCUCAGUUCGGACUGGAGUCUGCAACCCGACUCCACGAAGCUGGAUUCGCUAGUAAUCGCGCAUCAGCCACGGCGCGGUGAAUACGUUCCCGGGCCUUGUACACACCGCCCGUCAAGCCAUGGGAGCCGGGGGUACCUGAAGUGCGUAACCGCGAGGAGCGCCCUAGGGUAAAACUGGUGACUGGGGCUAAG
rnacentral:rRNA from 1 species